UUAUUUGCGCUAUAAAGUGCUGGAUUCUGCAUACUAUACGUUUGACUAAAUCUUAAGAGUAAGGACUGAUGUUUUUAUCUUUUUCACGUGUAUUGUUAGAUUUUGGGAUGGGCUUUGGAAGCUUGGGCUGUUAUCUACUUUCUGGACUUGCCUCUUCUACUUUAUAAUCAAUCAAACGAAUGUUGACCCAAAAAAAAAAAACGUUUAUAUGUGUUUAAUCGCAUAUACACGUGGAGUGUUCCUUUAGUUAGGUGAGACUGAAUUCAAGAAGAAAAAAAAGAGAAAUGACCAAACUGCAAAUAAGUGUAACUUAAGUUGUUUAUCAGAUCUAGGAUCUUCCACAUUUAUUUAGGCCGAUAUUAAACUCUUCACGGGAUGAGGCUUGUUGCCUGAUGAAGGAAAAAACACGGCUUGAGCUCCUCUGCAAUUGGAGGUGAGAGCGAUGAUUUUGGGAGCUGAGAUGGCUGUUGGUCGUGAUCUUAGAAGAUCGAAGCGGUGAGAAAGAUGAACGCCCUCACGCCACUGAGAAAUCUUAAACACGACAAAGGAAUGAGGUAAUCACGGUUGGACCACCGGAGAUCAAUCGGAGCGGCAACAAAGAUGACUGGAGAAGUCGCAAGAGAAGUUGCGGGGGUGCCAUGGCGAGGAGUCGAGGUCGCUGAGACGAAUAAGUCACAGGUAUACAUCUUCAUAUUAAAUAAUAAAUUAUGGUGGAUGGAGUCAUGAAGGGCUUUAAGAUGAUGUAUCUGUCAAUGAGGAAGAAGAUUGAAUGACGUGAGAAAAAUCUCUACCAACAGAUUCAUCGCACCGACUUCGUCGACUCAAUCCCUAAAAUCAGAAUCGCCGUGUAGAGAUGUUACACGCUCACUAUCGGGAUGGGUUUUAGCCUAAAACCCACAUAAAAGCUGUAACCCAUAUCUCUUCAAUUUUUUUAAAUGAAACGCAACGUAUAAGCAAAAGUGGACAGAUGUCGCUUUAAGAGAGCACAAAUUGAUGAGCUGGAAUUCUAGGUGGACACCUGAGAGUGAUUCAGGGGUCUUCUUUAUAUAUAAAGAUAUAUUCAAUCUCUUUAUUUAAAAGAUUAUCAGAUGACCAAUUAAAUUAAUUUAAUCUCUAAUUUAAUAUCCCCUCAAUCCUCUUAUAAACAUUUUCAUAAUAACAUGUACAUGUUUGUUGAUUAUAUAAAAUGU